rnacentral:lncRNA from 1 species
GCAGCCAGGAGUCUGGAGCGCAGGUGCCGGGCAGGCAGCACUGGGAGCGCUCGGCGACUUGGCUGGAGGCCGAAGGUGCCGCCCCUGGGGAACCAGAGCGCCUUUGCAAGAAGGAGUCUCGCUCUGACACCCAGGCUGGAGUGCAGUGGCGCGAUCUCGGCUCACCGCAAGCUCCGCCUCCCGGGUUCACGCCAUUCUCUGCCUCAACCUCCCGAGUAGCUGGGACUACAAGCGCCUGCCACCACGACCGGCUAAUUUUUGUAUUUUUAGUAGAGAUAAGGUUUCACUGUGCUAGCCAGGAUGGUCUCGAUCUCCUGACCUCGUGAUCCGCCCGUCUCGGCCUCCCAAAGUGUAGGGAUUACCGUCGUGAGCCACCACGACCGGCCCCUGAGAGAAGGCAUUCUUGUCUUGUGCCAGUUUUCAAAAAGAAAUGGUUUCAACUUGCAUCUAUUUGUGUGCCCAAGGCUAUUCCACAGAUGUCUGAAUUCAUUGUCUACUGAAAUUCCGACGUCUUGACAGUUCAACAUGUUCCAGGACAUGGCUGUUGUAGGAAAAAAUAUGAAUUAGAAAUAAGAGGAUUUAUUCACAUACCUUAAAAUAAAGGAGAAUAUUUUGCUCUUCUCUCUUUUCUUAUAGCAUUUAUAUUAUAUGUAGACAAUUUUCUCUGUUUUUUUUGAAAUAUAUGGAAGUCAUAUUAACAGCUAAAUAAACCUUUUGGCAUUCUUUUUUACUCGGGAUUGUCUUUAUCUAGGACCUUAGAUUCAUUGCUUGUUUUUGCUUUGGCAAAAGUUUAUAUUUUUUGUUAUUAGCCUUCUAAGGUAGACACAGAUUUGUUUAGAUAAAUGUCAUUUUAAGUGCACACAAAAGUUUGGCACCAAGAUAGGAUUAAAUUUAGCAAUACAGAAUGAUUAAAGCCAAGAGAUACUGAGUAAGUUCCUUUGACAGAAAACUGAUUAUCUGAGGUAAUGAUCUAAUAUUUGCAGGUUGAAGUACUUACACUGCAAAAGCAAGUGUAGUUCAGUGUAUAAACUGUGGAGUCUGUAGUUGUACUUUGCUUUCUAUUUUAUACUUCAGAAUAAUUAGCAUAGUUAU